rnacentral:rRNA from 1 species
GAUGAACGCUGGCGGCGUGCUUAACACAUGCAAGUCGAACGGAAAGGCCCAAGCUUGCUUGGGUACUCGAGUGGCGAACGGGUGAGUAACACGUGGGUGAUCUGCCCUGCACUUCGGGAUAAGCCUGGGAAACUGGGUCUAAUACCGGAUAGGACCACAUUUUGGAUGGUGUGGUGGAAAGUUUUUCGGUGUGGGAUGAGCUCGCGGCCUAUCAGCUUGUUGGUGGGGUAAUGGCCUACCAAGGCGUCGACGGGUAGCCGGCCUGGGAGGGUGUACGGCCACAUUGGGACUGAGAUACGGCCCAGACUCCUACGGGAGGCAGCAGUGGGGAAUAUUGAACAAUGGGCGCAAGCCUGAUGCAGCGACGCCGCGUGGGGGAGGACGGCCUUCGGGUUGUAAACUCCUUUCGCUAGGGACGAAGCGUUAUGUGACGGUACCUGGAGAAGAAGCACCGGCUAACUACGUG